rnacentral:rRNA from 1 species
GAUGGUUCGAUUAGUCUUUCGCACCUAUACCAAUGUCAAACGAACGAUUUGCACGUCAGUAUCGCUACAGCCCUCCAUUUUAAUUUCUCAAAACUUCAGCUUGCACAGGAAUAGUUCACCAUCUUUCGGGUCCUAACAGCUAAACUAUAGAUGCAUACCAACCGAAUUGGUACACCCAAAACAUGCCGAGAUUCCAUCUCUGAAAUACCCAUCUGUUUUAUAUG